rnacentral:rRNA from 1 species
AGCAGCCGCGGUAAUUCCAGCUCCAAUAGCGUAUAUUAAAGUUGUUGCAGUUAAAAAGCUCGUAGUUGAAUUUCGGGGUCAAUACGUCGGUCGUGCCUCGGUACGCACUAACGUUAUUGAUUCCUCCCUUCUGACGGACCGUGAUGUCAUUAAUUUGGUGUUGCGGGGAAUCAGGACUGUUACCUUGAAAAAAUUAGAGUGUUUAAAGCAGGCAAUCGCUCGAAUACAUUAGCAUGGAAUAAUGAAAUAGGACGUUCGAACCUAUUUUGUUGGUUUCUAGGAUCGACGUAAUGAUUAAUAGGGAUAGUUGGGGGCAUUAGUAUUCAAUUGUCAGAGGUGAAAUUCUUGGAUUUAUUGAAGACUAACUACUGCGAAAGCAUUUGCCAAGGAUGUUUUCAUUAAUCAAGAACGAAAGUUAGGGGAUCGAAGACGAUCAGAUACCGUCGUAGUCUUAACCAUAAACUAUGCCGACUAGGGAUCGGAUGAUGUUAAUUUUUUAAUGACUCAUUCGGCGCCUUACG